AGCGAACGCUGGCGGCAGGCCUAACACAUGCAAGUCGAACGAACUCUUCGGAGUUAGUGGCGGACGGGUGAGUAACACGUGGGAACGUGCCUUUUGGUUCGGAAUAACUCAGGGAAACUUGUGCUAAUACAGAAUGUGCCCUUCGGGGGAAAGAUUUAUCGCCAUUAGAGCGGCCCGCGUCUGAUUAGCUAGUUGGUGAGGUAACGGCUCACCAAGGCGACGAUCAGUAGCUGGUCUGAGAGGAUGACCAGCCACACUGGGACUGAGACACGGCCCAGACUCCUACGGGAGGCAGCAGUGGGGAAUCUUGCGCAAUGGGCGAAAGCCUGACGCAGCCAUGCCGCGUGAAUGAUGAAGGUCUUAGGAUUGUAAAAUUCUUUCACCGGGGACGAUAAUGACGGUACCCGGAGAAGAAGCCCCGGCUAACUUCGUG
rnacentral:rRNA from 1 species